GCUGGGCCUGGUGAUGCACGCCUAUAAUCCCAGCUGCUUGGGAGGCUCAGGCAGGAGAAUUGAGAGUUUAAAGCCAGCCUCAGCAAAAGCAAGAUGCUAAGCAACUCAGUGAGAUCCUGUCUCUA
rnacentral:sRNA from 1 species